rnacentral:lncRNA from 1 species
UCAGUAAGCAGCACUCCUCCAUGGCUUUUGCCUCAGCUCCUGCCUCCAGGUUCUUGCCCUGCUUGAGUUCCUGUUCUGACUUCCUUCAGUGAUGAACCAUGACGUGGAAUUGUGAGCCAAAUAAACCAAGUUGCUUUUGGUCAUGGCAUUUCAUCCCAGCAAUGGUAACCUUAACAAAGACAGGACCCAUCGUCCCAGGUGGAUUUUCUUCUCCUUGUGUUAAAUCUAUCCAGCACACUGGGAGUUAGCUGGAGCCAUCUGGCUCAGCACCAGCCUCUGCAGAGCCUGAUCUGGCACGGCCCACCUCACGAAGGACUCAAUGAGUAUUUCCAUUCAGCCUUCCCACAGCAGUGCCAGCCAGUUUGCAGAUGUUGUCAUUGAAUGGGUUCCCGGUCCCUGUGAUUUGAAGCAGCAGUUUCAUCAAGCUGCUACAGAAAGACUUUUUUUUUUUUUAAAGCUAACAAAACUAAACCCAUGGCUGUUCUUGAAGUGGACUCAUUUGGAAAUAAAAUCUCUCCACAAA